UACGUAGGGUGCGAGCGUUAAUCGGAAUUACUGGGCGUAAAGCGUGCGCAGGCGGCUUGCCAAGUCAGAUGUGAAAGCCCCGGGCUCAACCCGGGAACUGCGUUUGAAACUGGCAGGCUAGAGUUUGGCAGAGGGGGGUGGAAUUCCACGUGUAGCAGUGAAAUGCGUAGAGAUCCGGAGGAACACCGACGGCGUAGGCAGCGCCCUAAACGAGACCUGACGCUCAGGCACGAAAGCUGGGGGAGCAAACAGG
rnacentral:rRNA from 1 species